rnacentral:lncRNA from 1 species
UACUGAGAUGCUCUGUGCUGCUGUUGGUCCUUUUAUUGCCGACUGGUGCUCCACUGUGUUGAUUUAUCCCUGUCUCCUUAUUCAUCUGUGAUGGGCAUGGUACUUGGGGCCAUUAUGAGUAAUGCUGUCAUGCAUACAGAUCCUCCUGCAGAUACAUAUUUUUGUUUCUCUUGAGCAGACAUCUGGGCGUAGAAGUGCUGAAUCAUGGUGAAUGUAUUUUAACUUUAUCUUGGACUGCCAAAGUACACUAUAUUCUUUUGAACUUUACCUUUUUUUUUUUUUUUUUUUUUUUCCUUCGUCAGGAGUUAUUCUUUGGUUUGUAGUAUUGUCUAUACCCCUUUGUUUCUGUUGAAUCUCAUUGUUGGUCUUAAAAUGCACUCUGUUAGGAUUCAUUCUGGAUAAGAUGGUACAGGGUUAGGACUCAUGAUUGAGAGAUUAGUUAGGCAGGGCAGAAAAGGAUUUCAACCAAGAGCUGUACUCCUUGUAAGAGGGUCUAUUUCUAAGAUAUGAAUGAAAGACUCCUCAAACCCACCCAGGAAGCAGUUACCCCUGGAGGAUAUGAAGCAUUUGCAGGGAAAAUUAUUCCCAGUGGGGAAGGUUUUCCUAGUUAGGGUUACUAUUGCGCCAUGACCAAAGCAAACUGAGGAGGAAGGGGUUUAUUUGGCUUAUGCUUCGAAUCACUGUUUACCCUUAAAGGAAUUCAGGACAGGGACUCAAACAGUGGAGGAACCUAGGGGCAGAAACUAAUGCAGAGGCCAUGGAAGAGUUUCCUGGCCUACCAGCCCAGGGUUGGCACCACCUACAGUGGGCUAGGCCCUCCCCCAUCAAGCCCUAAUUACAAACAUGCUCUACAGCUAGAUGGAUUGAGGUUCCUUCCUUCCAGAUGACUCUAGCUCAGUGGUUUACAACCCUCCUAAUGUUGUGAUUCUUUUUUCUUCCAUGUUGUAGUGACCCCCACACACAUGAAAACACUUCUUCAUAACUGUAGUUUUGCUACUGUUAUUGUAAUGUACAUAUGUGUUUUCCAAUGAUCUUAGGCAACCUCCACCUGUGAAGGUGUUGUUUGAUCCCCAAAGGGAUCUCGACCCACCUGUUGAGAACUGCUGGUCUAGUUUGUGUCAAGCCGACAUAAAACUAGUCAGACAGAAGAUGCACAUUUUCUAACUUGGCAGUUUCCAUAACUUCCCUUUCCUCACAGAAGGAGAACCCUCUGGCCAACUGGGUCUGGGAACCAAGAAUUGGCAAGUAGUAGGUAAAGACCGGGAAAGCUGGCACAGGCUCUCUUUCUGCUUCUGAGGAGAUUAGCAAAUAGAAGGAGAUGCAGGACCUAGACACAUGGAGAUGGGAUAGGAAGUUGGUUUUUGUAAUGGAAGGAAGGUAAAUAUAUUGCUCUUCUCAGAUAGACCAAAGACUACCCAAUAUAAAUUGCUAGUUUAUCUUUCAGAAAACUAAAAAUAAAAUGGGAUUUUUAUGAACCUCAGGCCAGUCCUAAAUGCACUCUAUAGCCAAAGAUGACUUUGAACUUCCUAUCUGCCCUUAGCCCCUAGGGGCUCAGCUAUAGGUUUAAGUGGUGCUGGGGACCAAAUCCAUUUCACACAUGCAAUCAGCUGAGCUUCAUCCGCAGCCCACAUCUGCUUGUUUAAAGAAAAUGUGCCUAUGAUAAGAACUUCUCAUGAUCGUCAACAGUUAGUUCAGCGAAGCAUCCCUGUUUUCUGCUCUCGUGCAGGUGUACACUUGCUGGUUGUUCUUAAGGAUGCCAAAAGCAAUUCAGGUUUCAUAGACCAGUGAGUGUGUGGAGGCUGUGAACGCUGGCUGUCUGCUGGGAGCACAGUGAGAGUCCUAAACAAGGUUCCGGUUUGAUCUUCAUCUCAUUUAGAUUGUUGACUUGUGUCUUAGCUAUCUAGUAACAAAUAGCUGCAGUACAGCAGCUUAAACUCCCACGUAGGUAUAAUCCCAGAGAUCUGCGGGGGUGGGAUUCUUGGCGUUCAGCUUCUAUCUGUUAGAGGACAGCAGUCAAGGCAUCCGCUAGCUCUCAUCUGAAAGGUCAUCGAGGGAAGACUUUGGAGGUCAUGUGGCUAUUGGCAGAAUGUAGCUUGCUGAGGUUUUGACUUGGAGCCAUGGUUCCUACUCCGCUGUUGACUGGAGGCCAACCUCAGUUCCUCAUCAAGUGGAGCUUUCUAGAAUAGCUGCUUCCUUUAUCCAAGUGUGUAAGCCCAGAAAGACCGACAGGAGAGUGUGCUAACUAGACAGAAUGCUACAAUUUUAGGUGACCAAACCUCGGAAGGAAUGACCCAUUCAUUGCUUUCGGUGCGUUGUACCGAUUUUGAGCAAGUCAUAGACUCCAUCACCUCAAGGAAAGUGGAUUGUGUAGUAAUGAACACCAGGAGGCUAUCAGAUUGCCCACCACUGGGUCAUCACACCUGCCUACCUCAGAGCCCCAGCACCACAUAUUCUGCAUGUGUGCAUGUGUGUUUGUAGGUUUCUUUGCUGGUUGAACAGCCUGUCUGACCUUCUUUUCCUGUUGCUGUGAUAAAAUACCCUAACAAAAAGAAACUUAUGGGAGAAAGGGUUUAUUUGGGUCGCAGACAAGGUAUAGUCCGACAAGGUGACAGGAGCUUGAAGCAGCUGGUCACAGGGCAGCCACAUCAGAAGACAGAGUGGCAUAGGAAUGUGUGAAACUCACUUUCUCUUCCUACUCACCCCAGAAACCCAAGCCCAGGGAAUGGUUCUACCAACUUUUAGUCUGUGUCUUCCCACCUCAGUUAGCCAAAUUAAGAUAAUCCCUGACAGGAAUGGCCAGAGGCUCAUCUCCCAGUGUUCCCAGAUCCCUCGCAGUUCGUAAUUAAUUCUGCAGCUCAGCUUGCCCACAGGAGCAGGAAUUGGUGGGAAGGCCGCCAGCACAGGGUCUUUUAUUCUUCCAAUUUGUUGUUCCUGCUGGAAGUGUAUAGCUGGAAUAUGGUAGUUUAUAUGUCAAGACCAGCAUUCUACACAGAGCCUUGCUCCAAAAAGGAUAUUCCCAGCACUUGGGAGAAAGAGGCAGGUGGAUCUCUGUGAUUUCAAGGUUAGCCUAGUUUAUAUAGUAAAUUGUCUC